UACAAGCCCGCGUUAAGGAUUGAAGCUUUGUUUGAGCUCUUUUGUGAAGCAUGAACAAAAAGCGAGUGCGAAAAGCCUGACCUGAA
rnacentral:sRNA from 1 species